GCAUUUCUGAGGAGUCCUAUAAUAGAACGAAAUGGCCAUCCAGUGC
rfam:Schistosoma haematobium scaffold35_17, whole genome shotgun sequence.